rnacentral:rRNA from 1 species
UUCUUAUUGAAAUUAUUAUAAGUAACACCUGCUCAAUGAAUUCUUAAAUAGCCGCGGCUAUUUUUCCGUGCUAAGGUAGCAUAAUCAUUAGUCUCAUAAUUAGAGACUCGUAUGAAUGGUGAAACAUUUCAAUUACUUUAUUAAAUAAAAUUUCUCAAACUUUAAUUAAGAAUAAAAAUGUUCUUAUUAACUAAAUAGACAACAAGACCCUACUGAACUUUACUAUUGUUUAACUGGGGAAGUUAAAUAAAAAUUAUCUUAUUUUUACUUAAAUUUAUAAAUGACCCAACAUAAUUGAUUAUCUGAACAAGUUACCAUAGGGAUAACAGCGUAAUAUCUUUCUAAAGCUCUUAUUUAAAAAGUUGAUUGCGACCUCGAUGUUGAAUUAAUAUAACUUUUAUAAUGCAACAAUUUAAAAAGUGGGUCUGUUCGACCCUUAAUAUAUUACAU